UGGGGAAGUAUUGAGCAAUGGCGGAAGACCUGAUCCAGCAAUGCCGCGUGAGUGAUGAAGGCCUUAGGGUUGUAAAGCUCUUUUACCCAGGAUGAUAAUGACAGUACCGGGAGAAUAAGCUCCGGCUAACUCCGUGCCAGCAGCCGCGGUAAUACGGAGGGAGCUAGCGUUGUUCGGAAUUACUGGGCGUAAAGCGCACGUAGGCGGCUUUGUAAGUCAGAGGUGAAAGCCUGGAGCUCAACUCCAGAACUGCCUUUGAGACUGCAUCGCUUGAAUCCAGGAGAGGUGAGUGGAAUUCCGAGUGUAGAGGUGAAAUUCGUAGAUAUUCGGAAGAACACCAGUGGCGAAGGCGGCUCACUGGACUUGGUAUUGACGCUGAGGUGCGAAAGCGUGGGGAGCAAAACA
rnacentral:rRNA from 1 species